rnacentral:lncRNA from 1 species
UGCCGCUCUUGAAGCCGCUCAAAGAGUCCGGACUGUAGAUCGCGCGUCAAACGCGGCUUCUUGAGGGGAGGCCCUUUCACCAGGACUAUGGCCAAGCGAUCCGGGUCGUCGGAAGGCUGACUUUGGCUUUCUGCCCCCGCUUCCUCCAACGGGGCCGUUUCAGCUGCAUCAGCAUCCGGAUUAAGGUUGCCCGGAUGGUUGAUAGAUGCAGCUUCCUCAGCCACGUUGGCCAGACGCGCAGCCGCGACUAAGGAGGGACCUGAGUGAUUCAACCCCGACAUGCGUCCGGGGCCGCUUGAGAUAGAGUGCGGAGCAGCAUUUACUGGCUCCUCUAUCAUUACUUCCCCCUCAUAGGUAGU